UACGGGGGGGGCAAGCGUUGUCCGGAAUUAUUGGGCGUAAAGAGCUCGUAGGCGGUCUGUCGCGUCGGCUGUGAAAACCUGGGGCUCAACUCCGGGCCUGCAGCCGAUACGGGCUGACUAGAAUUCGGUAGGGGAGACUGGAAUUCCUGGUGUAGCGGUGAAAUGCGCAGAUAUCAGGAGGAACACCGGUGGCGAAGGCGGCCAACUGGACGAAGACUGACGCUGAGACACGAAAGCGUGGGGAGCAAACAGG
rnacentral:rRNA from 1 species